CUCGGGCGGCUCCGAGCGCGCAGGCGCAGAUCAAAGGGCGAGCGUACGAGGAAGCUCAGGGUGCUCUGGGGGAGCGAGAGGUCCCUGGUCUCAUGUCUCUGCAUCUCCUUCUUCCCCAUGACGGAAGCCCAGAGGAGGAUGGCCGGUCCCCCGGUGUCCCCUUGGCCCUAGACCAGGAAGCAGUGUCCUUCAGGGAUGUGGCCGUGGACUUUACCGAGGAGGAAUGGGGGUGCCUGAGCCCUGCUCAGUGGCAGCUCUACAAGGAUGUGAUGCUGGAGAACUUCCGGAACCUGGUGUCCCUGGGCUGAAGCUGGCCGUCGUCCCCCUUCCCAGAGCCCUGGCAGCGUUCCUGGCCCAUACACCUCCUGUUCAUGGGGCGUCACCUUGGGGAGGAGCGCAGUCUUUCUCGUUUGGUUUUCGUUUCUCAUCAGAGGAGAAAACAAACAGAAUGAGAACCCGUCCGCCCUGCUGUGCCCUUGUGGUCAGAUAUCAUCAGGAGGCCUCAAGGGGUGGGAGAAGGUGAGACAGGCGGAAGGCAAGAAGCCCCAGGUGAGGAUCCAGCCUCAGGCCAGCUGGGUGCCUGGAGAAGCCACCUCACCAUAUCUGCUUCAGCUUCCUCAUGGGGAAAAUGAUGAUCCAGCGGCACUGCCCUCCACAGGCACUUGUCUGAUGGAUUGAGACAGUAUUUGGAAAGUGCUUAGCAAACUAGAGGUCCUAACGGCUGUAUUUGCUGUCCAAGUCUCUGUCCCUUCUCUUACCCUUUUCCUCCCUGUGCAGCUGUAAAACACCUGGUUUGGUUGUCCUUGGGUCCCUUUGCCAGCCUUGCCCCUGAGGCUGAGCCCUCCUGACAUUGCUCCACAAGCCAUCCCCUUCACUCUCUGUCGCCUGGCCACGUGAGUGCGCCACUGAUCUCCCUGUGUAUCUACCUCAGUCUCCUUGGACAAACCCCCCUUUUCCUCUGCACUGGAUUUUCUUCCUCCCUUUCUCAAGAAUUUCAUUCUUGAGUGUCUCCCGCUCCUGGGACGACUUCUGCUGUAGAAUUUUGGUCCUGUCUUUCCCGUCAACCCUACCAGACCCUGGAGCGCAUGUCAGAUGAGGCUGGAUUUCUUUUCAUUCUCAUAAAGUCUAGACGGCAGCAGUCAUCCCCCUCCUUUCUCUCUCGGCCAUCAGCUCCUCUUUAUUGGGCACAGCGGAUGGAGCGUGGGCGAGUUUGAGGCCUACCUCAGAAACUCACCAGCCGUGUGACCCUGAGCAAGUCACUUAACCACCCCCUGCCCCAGUUUCCUCAUCUAUAAAUGUCCCAGGGCUGUGCUGUGGGUCAGAUGAGAUACUGUUUGUAAAGUGCUUUGCCGGCCUGCCACGCUGUAGAAACGCUGGCUUUAAUCUUGAUCGUUGUGAAUGAGGAGAGAUCUAGGACAGCUUCACCUUGGUGACUCAGUCAGCAAGAAUUUCUGGAUCAUUUACUAUGUGUUGGAUCUGAGCAUAGAAAGGCCAAAGCAGGUUUCUGCCUUCAAGGAGAUUACACUCUAACGGAGAUGGUGGGCACACCGCUCAGCACACACAAGAUGUAGAGAUGGGGGAGACGGAGGGUAAUCUCAGAGGGGAAGGCACAAGCAGCUGGGGGACUGGGCCCAGGUGAGGGGUCAGAGCAUUCCAGGUCUGCAGGAGGACCUGUCCCAAGGUGAGAGAUGCAGGCCAGCAUGGCAGGGUCACGGGUGGGCUGGACAGGUGACAAGGGGCCUUGCGCCUUCCCAGAGGAGCUUCUGUCGGGUCCCAGAGGUGGAUCAGCAAGCAGGGGACAGCGUGGUCAGACAAGGCAUGCCAGCAGAGGAUGGGCCUGGUGGGAAGAGAUUUGUGCCUAGGGGAGCAAACAGCGGUCCAGGCGUGAGGUGCUGAGGCCCUGCCCGGCCAUGCAGGAAACAGGGAUGUCUACAAGAUGGGGUGGGGAGGUCGGAAUACAGGGACUUCUCAAGGACAAAAUGACCAUCGAGGCACGUCUAGGAGCCAUUUGGCGCUC